rnacentral:sRNA from 1 species
CUUAAAAAAGUUUUGAAUUCUAUUUUGAUACAGUAAGCAGGGUUUUAAUUACACGAUAGAAUUUUAAAGAGACAAAAUUAAAAUAAUGUUUAAGUAGAAUGUUUUCAUGGUUGAUCCAGAAGUCUUCUGUUAAGCAGUAAGUAUUCUUCCUUAUAAAAUUUUCAUAGUUGUUAUAAAUCCUGUUUAUUUUUGGAGCUAUCUGAUAACUAAAUAAUCUUCCUUAUUUCUUCUUUUAAUGAAAUGUUUGAUUUGUUUCUCAAUCAAUGAAGAUCCAGCUCCAGGUCCCACAGGGGCUCUUCUUCCCCACGAAAAAGAUCUUAUUCAAGUUCAUCAUCUUCUCCUGAGAGGAACAGAAAGAGAAGUCGUUCUAGAUCUUCUUCAUCUGGUGAUCGCAAAAAAAGACGAACAAGAUCACGGUCACCCGAAAGACGCCACAGGUCAUCUUCUGGAUCAUCCCAUUCUGGUUCCCGUUCAAGUUC